rnacentral:rRNA from 1 species
CCUACGGGUGGCAGCAGUGAGGAAUAUUGGUCAAUGGGCGCAAGCCUGAACCAGCCAAGUCGCGUGAGGGAUGACGGUCCUAUGGAUUGUAAACCUCUUUUGUCGGGGAGCAAGGCCAGCCACGUGUGGCGGGAAGGAGAGUACCCGAAGAAUAAGCAUCGGCUAACUCCGUGCCAGCAGCCGCGGUAAUAAGGAGGAUGCUAGCGGUAUCCGGAUUUAUUGGGUUUAAAGGGUGGGUAGGGGGAUGGUUAAGUCAGGGGUCAAAUGUCGGUGCUCAACACCGGCCUGCAGUUGAUACUGGUCUUCUUGAGUGAGCGAGAGGUAUGCGGAAUGCGUGGUGUAGCAGUGAAAUGCAUAGAUAUCGCGAAGAACUCCGGUUGCGAAGGCGGCAUCCCGGAGAUCAACUGACGCUGAGGCACGAAAGCGUGGGGAUCGAACAGGAUUAGAUACCCUUGUAGUC